GCCACCUUAGCUCAGUUGGUAGAGCGGAGCUUUCGUAAAGCUCAGGUCGCGAGUUCGAGUCUCGCAGGUGGCU
rnacentral:tRNA from 2 species